CCUAAAAAUAUAUGUCUUCAGUUGAAGAAAUUGGUCUGAAGCUGAAGAAAUGAAUCGCGAAGAAUUUGCGAUGAAAUUGAUAUUCCUCAUGAAGUAUUGAUAUUGAGAAGAUCGGUGGUUCCUGAAGAAAAUCGUUCUGAAGAUAUUGAAGCAUGAAGAUUUACGUUUUCUGUUUUACUUUCUUCGCAUUUGAUGAAUAGGAACACCGUACUGUUAAAGGGGGUCAAAGUAACGCUAUGGAAUGAAUUUCCUCAUGAUGGUCAACCCAAGCCAAAUCCUACCAAAAGCCUCAAGUGAGGAAUAUGAGUGACAUGAGGACUCUCACAGUUGAGGGUCCCGACCGUUUCGAUAGCCACGCCAAGUCACUGGUCUUAUCCACUCCAACGGUCAUAUUGUUUAAGGGCAUUAAUGUCAAAUCAUGUCGGGAUGCUCCCAGGCUAUAAAUAGCCACCCCUCACAACCACUAGCUGGUUGGCUGCUCCGUUAGAAACUGACACUUGUCAUAAGAGCAACCCAAAUUCCUUAGAGCUUUCGAGAGUAAAUCAUCAGUGAGGAAAUACACCACCCACCGAAACCACAAACCAAACCUAGUGAUUGAGCAUCACUGAAGAAGUUGUUCAUGUGUGGGACUGAAGCCUUUUACCUUUGAGGACUGUGCAUCCUCCAGACGGUUUGGCGUCAUGGUCUAGAGCAAUCCAGCAGUCAAUUGUGGAUCGCCGGGUGACCGAGUUUGUGAGGGUUUGGAAGUCUGCCCUGAAGACUUACCACGAGUGUUGGGCGAGGACUGUGUGUCCUUAGCUCGAGGAGAGUACGGUAGGGACUGUGUGUCCCGGGACUGGGUGUCCUUUGGUUUCAAUACCAAGCCGCUCCAAACCAGAUGUACAACUGUCACAG
rnacentral:lncRNA from 1 species